GCAUGUGGUAUAAUGGUAGCACACUCGGCGCGUAUUCGAGAGGUCCAGGUUCGAGUCCUGGCGAGGGCA
rnacentral:tRNA from 1 species